ACAUAGUUGUUCAGGGUCAGUGUAACAGCCUUCGCAAAAGGGUUAAUCUAGUUGCAAAGUAUAUGUUUGUUCAAGUCAUUUGCUAGCCCUUUGUUGCAUUGUUCGUAACCUUUCUUUUACUAUGACUUUUUACUUUGCAAAUGCAGAUUAUGUGGGGGUGAAGCAAUGGGGGGAACUUGACGUUCAUUGAUAGUGCAAAUAGGCCUCAGCUUGUGCAGAGGUUUAAAGAGCUUUCCAUCCGGCUUAAGAUCGCCACUAUGCAGCAGUGAAGGUGCAGCUCAACCAUGAUUUGAUUUCUGCCCAGCUCGAUAGUGGUUGCAGUAGCUUCAACUUUUAGUCCAUGCAACAGCGGAGGCAGUCAUGAUUUUUGUCUAUUGACUCUGGAUAUUUAGAAUUUAGAUGGGUGAAAAUGCCUAUGUACAUGUUGCUAAUUUGAUUACUGUUUUUCAAAACUUUGGUUAUGAGAUCCUAAAAGUUGCUUUUUCACUGAAA